rnacentral:rRNA from 1 species
CCGGGGUUUCUUUACCAGGUACUGUCAUUAUCAUCCCUGGCGAAGGAGCUUUACGACCCUAAGGCCUUCAUCACUCACGCGGCAUCGCUAGAUCAGGCUUGCGCCCAUUGUCUAAGAUUCCCCA